rnacentral:rRNA from 1 species
UACGUAGGGUGCGAGCGUUGUCCGGAAUUAUUGGGCGUAAAGAGCUCGUAGGCGGUGUGUCACGUCGGCCGUGAAAACCUGCAGCUUAACUGUGGGCGUGCGGUCGAUACGGGCAUCACUGGAGUUCGGCAGGGGAGACUGGAAUUCCUGGUGUAGCGGUGAAAUGCGCAGAUAUCAGGAGGAACACCGGUGGCGAAGGCGGGUCUCUGGGCCGAUACUGACGCUGGAGGA